GAAAUAUUAAACAAUGUAUACACGUAUUUUAUGAUGAGUACAUGGUUGAGAUUAUAACUAGGAUAUAAUAGGAAAUAUUUAUUGCGAGCACCGUGAGAUUUUAAAUAGGUGUUCUUUCUCUCGAAGCCUUAUAUCAUGCACACAGGAUAUCACAACGAUGAUAUUCGCAAUUUAUCAGCCAUGUUAUUAGCAGACAAUGCGUAAUCUCUGCGUACGGUUAUAGAAGGGAGAUUUCGGAAUCGACAAAGGAUCGAUCGUGAUCCUGUUGUCUUUUGGCCGAUCACGGUAACAGACGUCUCUUGCGAUUUGCUUGGACAUAUACAAAGAGUGAAAGAAUCUUACCACAUCGAACUCGAUUCUUCCUAGGAAAAGAAAUCUAUUAAAAUUUGAAUUUUAGAUUAAUACGUAUGGUAAUUAUUCAUAAUAAAAUUUUCCGAGAAAGAGAUAUUAUAUUGAUCAAACGUAACUAUCAGAAAGUCAAUUAAGACAACACACAAAAAAUGGGUUUCAAAACAAACUUAUUAUUCGUACUUGCUUCCUUCAGUAUGUUGACGCAUGCGACAUUAAGUAAGAUUGAUUAUUGUGACCUCCCUUUUGUGACUGGCCCUUGCCAAAAUUUUGAAAUAAGAUAUUGGUAUAAUGCAACUUCGAAGGAUUGUGAAGUCUAUUCG